GAUGAAGAACGUAGCGAAAUGCGAUAAGUAAUGUGAAUUGCAGAAUCCAGUGAAUCAUCGAAUCUUUGAACGCACAUUGCGCCCGCCAGCAUUCUGGCGGGCAUGCCUGUUCGAGCGUCAUUUCAACCCUCGACCUCCCUUUGGGGAAGUCGGCGUUGGGGACCGGCAGCACACCGCCGGCCCUGAAAUGGAGUGGCGGCCCGUCCGCGGCGACCUCUGCGUAGUAAACCAACUCGCACCGGAACCCCGACGUGGCCACGCCGUAAAACACCCAACUUCUGAACGUUGACCUCGAAUCAGGUAGGACUACCCGCUGAACUUUAGCAUAUCAAUAAGCGGAGGA
rnacentral:misc_RNA from 1 species